UGUAUACUCCCUCCAUCCGAAAAUACUUGUCAUCAAAAUGAAUAAACAGGGAUGUAUCUAGAUGUAUUUUAGUUCUAGAUACAUCCCUUUUUGUCCAUUUUGAAGAUAAAUAUUUUCGGACGGAGGGAGUAUAAA
rfam:Triticum aestivum genome assembly, contig: Triticum_aestivum_CS42_TGACv1_scaffold_221874_3B